GCGCUCGUAGCUCAGCGGAUUAGAGUACUCGUCUUCGGAACGAGGGGUCGGGGGUUCGAAUCCCUCCGGGCGCA
rnacentral:tRNA from 1 species